rnacentral:rRNA from 1 species
GAUGAACGCUGGCGGCGUGCCUAAUACAUGCAAGUCGAGCGAACGGACGAGAAGCUUGCUUCUCUGAUGUUAGCGGCGGACGGGUGAGUAACACGUGGAUAACCUACCUAUAAGACUGGGAUAACUUCGGGACACCGGCGCUAAUACCGGAUAAUCUUUUGAACCGCAUGGUUCAAAAGUGAAAGACGGUCUUGCUGUCACUUAUAGAUGGAUCCGCGCUGCAUUAGCUAGUUGGUAAGGUAACGGCUUACCAAGGCAACGAUGCAUAGCCGACCUGAGAGGGUGAUCGGCCACACGGGAACUGAGACACGGUCCAUACUCCUACGGGAGGCAGCAGUAGGGAAUCUUCCGCAAUGGGCGAAAGCCUGACGGAGCAACGCCGCGUGAGUGAUGAAGGUCUUCGGAUCGUAAAACUCUGUUAUGAGUGAAGAACAUAUGUGUAAGUAACUGUGCACAUCUUGACGGUACCUAAUCAGAAAGCCACGGCUAACUACGUG